UUGGCCCAGUAGUUUCAGAGGAGAAGAUUUUUGUAAAAGAUUACUAAGAUUUAUGAAAAAUGGUUAAAAAUUGACUAUAAAGGGCAAUAACUCCUAAAGGGGUCAACUGACCAUUUCAGUCAUGUUGACUUAUUUGUAAAUCUUACUUUGCUGAACAUUAUUGCUGUUUACAGUUUAUCUCUAUCUAUAAUAAUAUUCAAGAUAAUAACCAAAAAC
rnacentral:lncRNA from 1 species